rnacentral:rRNA from 1 species
UACGUAGGGUGCGAGCGUUAAUCGGAAUUACUGGGCGUAAAGCGUGCGCAGGCGGUUCGUUGUGUCGGCGGUGAAAUCCCCGGGCUCAACCUGGGAAUGGCCGUUGAAACUGGCGAACUGGAGUGUGGCAGAGGGGGGUGGAAUUCCGCGUGUAGCAGUGAAAUGCGUAGAGAUGCGGAGGAACACCGAUGGCGAAGGCAGCCCCCUGGGCUGACACUGACGCUCAGGCACGAAAGCGUGGGGAGCAAACAGG